rnacentral:rRNA from 1 species
AUCCGGAAGUCCCCGAUUUCACACUGCCAAGAAAAGCCUCUAGCGAGGGAAGAGGUGCCCGUACCGCAAACCGACACAGGUAGGCGAGGAGAGAAUCCUAAGGCGCGCGGGAGAACUCUCGUUAAGGAACUCGGCAAAAUGACCCCGUAACUUCGGGAGAAGGGGUGCUCGUUUGGGUGAAGAGCCCGAACGAGCCGCAGUGAAAAGGCCCAAGCGACUGUUUAUCAAAAACACAGGUCUCUGCGAAGCCGAAAGGCGACGUAUAGGGGCUGACACCUGCCCGGUGCUGGAAGGUUAAGGGGAGCGCUUAGCGGAAGCGAAGGUGCGAACCGAAGCCCCAGUAAACGGCGGCCGUAACUAUAACGGUCCUAAGGUAGCGAAAUUCCUUGUCGGGUAAGUUCCGACCCGCACGAAAGGUGUAACGACUUGGGCGCUGUCUCAACGAGAGACCCGGUGAAAUUAUACUACCUGUGAAGAUGCAGGUUACCCGCGACAGGACGGAAAGACCCCGUGGAGCUUUACUGCAGCCUGAUAUGGAAUUUUGGUAUCGCUUGUACAGGAUAGGUGGGAGCCU